rnacentral:rRNA from 1 species
CCUACGGGAGGCAGCAGUGGGGAAUAUUGCGCAAUGGACGAAAGUCUGACGCAGCGACGCCUCGUGAGGGACGAAGGUCUUCGGAUUGUAAACCUCUUUCAGCAGGGACGAAGCGAAAGUGACGGUACCUGCAGAAGAAGCACCGGCUAACUAUGUGCCAGCAGCCGCGGUAAUACAUAGGGUGCAAGCGUUGUCCGGAUUUAUUGGGCGUAAAGAGUUCGUAGGCGGUUUUUCGCGUCGGAUGUGAAAACUCAGGGCUCAACCCUGAGCCUGCAUUCGAUACGGGAAGACUCGAGGACGGCAGGGGAGACUGGAACUUCUGGUGUAGCGGUGGAAUGCGCAGAUAUCAGAAGGAACACCAAUGGCGAAGGCAGGUCUCUGGGCCAUUACUGACACUGAGGAGCGAAAGCGCGGGGAGCGAACAGGAUUAGAUACCCUGGUAGUCCGCGCCGUAAACGGUGGGCACUAGUUGUGGGAACCUUCCACGGUUUCCGCGACGCAGCUAACGCAUUAAGUGCCCCGCCUGGGGAGUACGAUCGCAAGAUUAAAACUCAAAGGAAUUGACGG